UGUGUGCGUGACGAGAUCUCCGUCAGCCGCGCGCUGCGGUCAGCCUGCUGCUACGCACAGCGUUGCAGGGGCUUUGGGAACUGCUCCGUAAGAAAGGCUCCUCCGUUAGUAACUUGAGGGAAAUAACGGCAGCUGUUGCGAACGGUUUGUUCUCUUCCCGGGGAAGAUAGCGUUUACGUAUGGAAUUACAACAGCUCUGAAACUGAAGGACAGCUUCUGAAUUCCUUUGGCCAGUAUUUUGGUGACAGCCUUGGGAAGAAGAUAAAAAGAAUGCCUUUAUUAGAAGAAACUGUUCUGCCUGGAGACUCUCUUCUUACUCUGCCUGUGGUAAUAAUAGGAAAUGGACCUUCAGGAAUUUGUCUUUCAUAUCUACUGUCUGGAUACAGGCCGUAUUUGUCUCCUGAAGCUGUACAUCCAAACCCCAUUCUCCACACAAAAUUAGAGGAAGCCCGGCAUCUUUCCAUUGUUGAUCAGGAUCUAGAGUACCUGUCUGAAGGCCUGGAGGGACGCUCUUCAAACCCAGUUGCAGUGCUCUUUGAUACACUCCUUCAUCCUGAAGCUGACUUUGGGUAUGACUACCCAUCCGUUUUGCACUGGAAGCUGGAACAGCAUAAUUAUAUUCCCCAUGUAGUGCUUGGUAAAGGACCACCUGGUGGGGCUUGGCAUGCCAUGGAAGGCUCUAUGCUAACAAUCAGUUUUGGAGACUGGAUGGAACUGCCUGGACUCACUUUCAAGGAGUGGGCAGCUAGCAAGCGCAGAAAUAUAAAGAGUGACCGAGUAAUGCCAGAGGAAAUAGCUUGUUACUAUAAACACUACGUUAAAGUCAUGGGCCUCCAAAAAAACUUCAGGGACAAUGUUUACAUAACAUCAGUAUCCAGACUUUACCGAGGAGAUGAUGAAGAUAGAAGUCAGCUGAAUGAAAAUAUUCCGACGCAGCAUUUGGAAAUGGAAGAUGGACAGAAACCACUGAUUAAGCGAAACUGGGAAGUCAGAGGUUAUCAGCGAGCAACAGAUGGUUCUCAUGUGCCCUUCUGCCUCUUUGCUGAGAACGUGGCUCUUGCCACGGGAACCUUUGACUCUCCUGGCCGACUGCACAUUGAAGGUGAAGAUUUUCCUUUUGUCCUUCAUUCCAUGUCUGACUUCGGAGCUGCUGUAAGCAAAGGAAAGCUACGUGGGAAAGCAGACCCUGUGUUAAUUGUGGGUGCUGGACUUACUGCAGCUGAUGCAGUACUGUGUGCCUACAAUAACAACAUCCCAGUAAUUCAUGUGUUUCGUAGAAGAGUUACUGAUUCGAGUCUGAUUUUCAAACAAUUGCCUAAAAAGCUUUACCCUGAGUACCAUAAGGUCUAUCAUAUGAUGUGCACUCAGUCACAUACUGGGGACUCUCAUCUGCAUUCUGCUUACACUAGUUUCCCUGAACACAAUGUACUUUCCUUUAAGCCUGAAAUGAAAUGUGUUCUUCAGAGUGCCUCUGGACUGAAGAAAAUCUUGAAGUUUUCUGUAGCCUUAGUUCUGAUAGGUUCUCACCCAAAUCUCUUCUUUUUAAAGGACCAAGGACAUAGCAUAGGACAUCACUUAAAUCAGCCCAUCACGUGCAAAGGGAAUCCUAUUGAGAUAGAUCCAUAUACAUACGAAUGCACUAAAGAAGCAAACCUCUUUGCUUUAGGUCCCCUGGUGGGAGACAACUUUGUACGGUUUCUGAAAGGAGGUGCAUUGGGCAUUGCACGAUGCUUGGCAAUAAGACAAAAGAAGAAACAUGAAUUGAUGGGAAGUGAGGAUGGAGGAGGUGAUGGGGUACCAUAAAUAAGGCAUUAGAAACUUUUCACGUAUGGAACUAGACUUAGUCUAACAAAGCACUCACUGACAGCAAAAGUUGUUAGCAGUCAUAUUUCUGUAUACAAGUAACCUGUGCUUGUAUUGUUUGAUAAAGGAUGCUGAUACCAUAAUACUUCCUUUUCAAAAUGCAAAGAUUUGAUCUGCUGUUACAACUGAUCUCUAUCUACUGGAAUUAAUUCCAGAGAAACAGAAAAUGAGACUAACUCUUACUGACCUACCUGUCAUCUCUUGCUCAGCUGAAAGAGCAGACUUCCUCUGGGAAAAGCAAUGCCUGCCAGUGUGGGUUCAUCUUUCAGUGUCAAACUUGACAAAAUAUUCCUAUCCUGAAAUUAACUUCAAAAAGCAGAAGGCUGUUAGUAGAAAGUGAUGCUUGGUCCCAGAGCAAAUUUGGAGCCUUUUGAAGUGGGAAUUUUAUUUAUUUGCCAUAGUAAUACUUGGAAUGAGCACUUACAAAAUGGUCUUUACUAUACGAAGGAUAUUCCAUAAGCAGAGAGAGUCCCAAGAGAGUCCCAAGUGACCCAAUUUGGUAAUUGGAAUAAAAGAAUAGGCAUUCGUGUUUAAUCUUCAGUGCAUGAUUUGACAAUCCAUUAAUAUUUUUUUCAUGCAAUGCCUAGAUUUUGGUGAGUAGAGACAGACGUGACGUGAGAUGUUCCCCUGCGGUGAUAUGUACGUUCUGAGAGAACUCACCAACAUAAACAAUAAAGUACUGAUAAAUUGCCAGUUCUGAAGUUUCAGCCAGACAUUUGGGUUUCUGACUUUGACUGCUUGGUGAGGUUUCUGUUUCUCUCCUAGGUACGCUGUGAGAAAAAGAUAUGCAGAAGUUAAUGCAGUUAGGAUAGCUUUUCCGUAGGACAGCUUUCCCUAAAGAAUUGGAUCACGCUGCAUUUGUUGUGGAUUAGAUGGGAGCACUGAAUAGGUACCUUUGGGGGAAACAUGUUGUCUCUCAGUUCUCAAAUAUAUACACAUUCAAUAUAUGUAUUUAAAUUUCCUUUCUUCAUAAUAGUUCCCAAAGGGAAACUUUGCUUCCUUCAGCAUUUCUUUCAGUGAGGAAGGCAAGUUUUCAAAUACUGUACAUUAAAAAAAGGUUGCUUAUUACUGAAGCUUUAUUACUAAUAUGCAGAAAGAUCAUAACUGUUAGCUGAAGAAAUUUUAUUUAGAUUUAUAGAACUUCUAAAGGUGCAAUAACCAUGCUAAGUGUUUUCUAAUAGGCUGGUGGGAAAAUGUCUUUUGUAGUUGUUCUUGGUUCUUUAAUGCUGAACACAUCUCCAAAACUAUUGCUAAGAUUAAUUAGUUUCCAACUGUGUUGAACUGGGACUAAGAUGUGUCAUAGUAGGUUUCCUAGUAUGUGAUUAUUUAAUGAUAGGCAGUUCUGAAUGAAGGUACCUAGAUGGAUGGUAACAAAUGGCAUGGUUUCUGUUGGCUUCCAGUGGCUGAUGGAUGAACUUCUGCUUAAUUUGCCAGGAUUGGCUUCAUUUUACCCUGGCAAGUGCAGAAAUCCACAGUAACGUCGGGCUGCUCUAUCUCAAGAGGAAGCACUGCCUGGAGCUAGCAGCCUUGGUUUUCUGCUGAACAUAUGGACAGAGUGUUGGGCCCAGAUGCAUAGGUUGCAAACAGGGCUUAUAUGCUGAGUAAAGGACACCAGAGAGCAUCCCAUAGCUAUGGGUCCCUGGUCCCCAAUGCUGCGGGGGUUGUUGGGAGGUGUCAUGUUGUCCUUGUGGCCUCUUGUGUAGGCACUCUUCAAUUAAUUUCUUUGUGAUGGUUGCCUAAUGAAAAAUAACAGUCUGGUAGAAGGAGAUGGCUGUAGCUUUUCUCUUGCAACAUUUAAACUGGGAAAAAGAUGAUAGACAGAAAAAUGGAGCACUUGGUUUAAUUUCCUACAGCAUUGAACAGACCUAGACUUUGAGGCAGGCCUGUUUUGCACAGGCAGUUGGAGAGAGAAGGAAUUUACCUUGUUUUUAGGUAACUUGCUCUUGAGAGACAAAGAAAGGGUGUGAAAUCUUUCAGCUCCCAAUGAUUUCAUGCUAAUUAACAAGUAAUGACCAGUAAGUAACAAUAGAAGAAAGCAGUAAAGAAUCUGAGCAACGUAAACUUAAAAGCCUAUAGGUGCAAAAAGAGCCCACAUGGUGUUAGAGCGUAGUGGGCUCCCAUCCUCUGUAAGGUUUAUGCUGUUACAUUUUCACUUGGCUAAUAUUUUAGAACCAUUUGGCUCUGAUUUUCUGUUACCAAGUGUGGAUUAUUUGGUGAGGGUUAGAGCCAGAUGGGAGCAUGGUAGCCACACUGGCGGAAGAACUUUCUGGAUAUUCAUUUUCCUUGCACAACCUGGAAGAGAAUGCAUGAAUGCAUGCUUUGUUUGAGGUUACCACAAUGCCUGGUCUGUUGAGCAGAAACAAAGGAAUCUGAAAUGCCAUUGACAAAGGAAGGCUUUGGUGACACCGGGUGACAAAGUUAGACACUGCUUUACAAACGGCUCUUUCUGCAAGACAGUACUGUCUUUGGGGGGGAAUAUGGUACACUUCUAAGAUGUCUGAGCUAAUCCUCAAAGCCUGAAUUGCACUAGGAAAUGUGAAAUCACACAUUCGGUGUAAGGAACAAGGAUUGGGUUGAAGUAGUGAUUGCAGUAAGGCUAAGCACUCUUCCAGGGAUGGUUUUGUCAAUGCAGAUUGAAAUGUUUCAGGCUUAGUGCCCUGAUAUCCUGUUGCACCUGUCUGCAUGCUAGUGACUUUAUAGCAAUGAUAAUUUCUUACUUAAAGGGCAUAUUAAGCCCAACUCUUACUGGAAAUUCAUUAAAUUUACAUUUUCCUCCCCCAUCUCUUCAUGAUGAGAUCAGUGGCAAUGUGCAUGUAUACAACCAUACUGCCUGUGGUGGAUGCUUCAACCAACUAAAAUUUAGCAUAGUUCCUGGAUGCCCCUGUGGACUUGCAUCUAUUUAAAAAAACAGUACAGAAUCCUGGCAUUUUUUUUUUUUUUAAACUUGAUAUAUAAAUUAGAAUGUUGUCCACAAUUCCAGAGGAAAGGAAGUGAAAGGUUUGUAGACUUUCAAGGGGGUGACCUGAGCAAAAGGAAGAGUUUCAUGUUCAAUGGUAGGACCAGCUGUAUGAAUGCUGAGGUGCUCCUUUUCAAAAUCCUGUGGCCUCACAUCUGUUUGGCAAAAUUUUGGAAAGUCAUUGCUCUGGUAUUGCCCAUUUCUGUUAGAUCUGAUGCUCUGGUUGCGGAUUUCCUGUUCUAAAUGAGCUGAAGAUUUAUAUUCACUCACCCACGCUUCCUGCUCUCAUGCAAGGCAGCUGGAGCUUGAGGUACCAAGUAAACAUUACAGUGCGUCAGGCUUCACUAUUUCUGCUUUUGCUGAAGUACGUUUAGGUCAUAUCCUUUUUUAGAAGUUCAGUGUAAACAUAACACAUAGAUGGUAUCUGCUGUCAGCUGAAGUAGAUUCUCCUUUGAGUUGUGAGUAAAACCUCAGUUUUGAUGAGAUGAUUAACUUUCCCAAGGCUUGCAUACAAACCUUGUUUCAUCUUCAGGUGUGAAAACUGAUGGCAGAUGAGGGUUCUCCACUUCCUUUGGCCUUUCAAGUCAAAUUAUAUGUGGUGAGGCAAAAUUGUACGGUGUUCAGGAGGAGGAAAUUGUACUGAUCUGGUGCUGCAACUAAUGCUUGAGAAAGAGAGAUUCUGAGGGUCAGAGAUGAGGUGGAAUGGUGCAAACAGUGUUAAAGCAAAUGGUGGGGCAUGCUGCUGGCUGGGGAGAUAUAGAAAUGGUAGGGAUAUUGGAAUGUAGUCAUGGUGGUCAUCAAAACUUGUUAAGAGGAGGUGUGAGGGGUAUAACAGUAAGGAAGAUGAUACAUGUGUGUUGCUGUUUGGUUUAGGAAUGAAGAUACUAGUAUGAGCAGAGUGCAGUCAGAGGAGGCCAAUUUGUGAUUCAAAUACUGGGUAUGGCCAAAUGUGACUGGGGAUUCCACACAUUGAAUGAAGCAAGAGAAGGGCAAGGUGUAUGGGGGGGAAGUAAGGGGGAGAAGAUGAAUUUUCUGUACAAAAGAACUGAUGUUAGGAGAGCUGGUUGCGGUGGAGGUAGGCCUCAGAGCUGCCUUUGACUGGUAUGCCAGCUAUGAGCUGAAGCUUGGUGUGAAAUGUGAUUUGAUUCCUCUGACUGAGGAAUGGUGGUCAGCAGACGAAUGUGAAAUUGAUGGGAAACACAUUUUCAGACCACAGGAAUUAGUGCAGUGCCGCAGGAGAAGCCUGCCCUGCCCUCACCCCCUGCUGCAUCAGCCCUGAGAGAUGGAAAGUAAGGGCAGGAGUGAGAUGUGGGUUGUCACUGGUGGAAAGAAAUGGAACACGAAUCUCAACAGUCUGAGGGGAAAAAGUCCCGGUAGCUUUGCCCAGGGCAGUGGCUUCCCAAACAGACAUGGGAAAGGCAGGAAGUCAGUGGAAACGGAGAGUGAGGAUGAUGUUCCUGCACAGAUGCAGCACCUGGGCUCUGCUCCAGGGGUGUGUGAGUUAAUUCAGCCUGUGUGGAACCAUGCUCAGUGAAGCUGCUGGAUGCAAGACUGUACUCUAAAAGCCUUGCUAAUAAAAAGUAUAUUUAGUCUGUACACUGUGUGCAUCUCCUUCCUGUGAGCAAUGUGAACAAAGAUGGUUCUAAAAAAAGCAGACCCACAGCCCCUCAGUGUUCGUUACUCAGAAAAAUGAAAGUGCUGUAGAUAAAGCUGCUGCUUUUUUAUCAAAAAAAUACAGCUAUAAGCAGAGUUUGGUCAAGUGUGCUAUGCUUUUAGGUUGUGAUUUGGAUUAGAGAAAGCUCAAAGGUCCAAGUUAGGUUAGUAAAUGUUUUUUUUAGUUGCAGAUGCUAAGUUAACCCCAUACAAGUUCACUAAGAGGAAAAAAAAAAAAAAGUUCAUCUGAAUCUUGAAACCAAAGGGCAGAAACCAUCUGUAAAACCAAAGCAUACAGCAGCAGUUGUUCUGAACUACACAAUGCUCAGUAAAAGGCUACUGUUCACGAAGUCACUCUGUACAGAGAUGUGAUACAGGGAAAUUAAAUGUGUGAGUACAAAUCUCCCCAUGGAGAGAGUUGCAGCCCCAAUGCAGGAGCAGUAAUUUCUAAUACAGUGGGAGAAAAUAGGAAACCACCUUCCCUAGUAAAGUAGUUUCACAGCUGCCUGUGAGAGAAUGCAGAGAAAUGCUGGCACAGAGAAACAUCACUAGAUUUAUGAAGAACCCUCCCCGGGCUUCUAUUGAGGUGCUCACCUAAUUGCAUGAUGGGUGUCUAUCAGUUCUAUGAUGCUAAACCGAAAAAAAGAAUCAAGGCUGCUAAAUCAACUAUGUGGGGAACUGGAUGUGAGAAGCCCUAACUGCUACAACUUGAACACAAGAGUGGUCUCAGCUGUGCCUCUGGGGCUGCUCAAGUUGCAGUCUGAGUAGCAGAAGACUUGGCAUUUAUGUUCUUUUACAAGGCCCAUGGUAUGUUCUGUUACGAGUUUUUCAAGAAAGAAGAGGUUUUUUUCUAUCAAUUAUAUACAAAGGUAAACAGAAGCUUUCUGAAGGAUCUUGUCCACUGAUAUUCUGCUUAGUAACUACCAUCAAAAAGGUCAUCCUCAGCAGUCUGCAAGGACUCAGAUCUAUUAGAACAGAGAGCUUUAAACAUAAAAACAUGGAAAAUUUUGAGAUGAGAAAAAUUCACGUUGAGAGUACAACAAGUAAUACUAAAUACAUCUCUUCCAGCAAAUGCUACCACUAAAGGUGGUGGGUGGAUGAGAUCUGCCCCUGCUGUGAUGUAAGUUACAGUACCAACGUACCUUAUGGCCAUCUGCUGCAUUCAGAGUUAUCGAUCUUCCAAUCUGUGUAUCUUUUUGGUCAUCCCUGAGCAGUCAAGGAUCCACAAAUCAAAAAAUGAGGAACAACUUUUUUUUUGAACACAAAAUAUUUUUUUGUCUGAGACCAUGUAACCAGUUUGACUUCAGGAUAAUUGCUACUGACACACAUAGAUCUUGGGGCACUGUUCUUCGGAGUUGAAACAUGACACAGUGGUUUGAAAUAGCCUAGUUCACCUUGACUGCUGUGUUAAAGAUUCAGUCACAUCACAUAAGAAAAGCGAUCCUACCAUCUUAUAAACAGUGAUAGAACUUCUGUCCAUCUUCAUCACAGUUUUAUGUAUGUGAACAACUUCAGGGCUUUUUGAGCUGAACUUAAGUAUGAUGAAGAAAAGCUGUUUUAUUUCCAUCUCCAAAAUCUUUUAGAACAGUAGCACUAGUACUUGCUCUACUUAAUGAGCCACUGAGAAGGCUACCAUCAUUAGGCAUUAGCUAUGCUUAUAUCUCUUAAUAGAUUCCUAACUCUUAAGACAAUAUCCCUGAAAAAGAGCUCAAGAAUUCAAUUAAUGUCCUUUUCUCCCUCGUGAGACCAGUUCCUUCGAUUUCUCUUGGCCUGAAUCUUCAAGACUGGAAAAUGACCUUAUUUCAAAAAGGAGCAGCGUUUAUUUGGCUUCCCUGCCCCAACUUGAUCUUGAAUUUUCAACUUUUUUCUUCUUUCAUUUGAUGGAAAAGCUCCUACAAUGCUAAAAAUCAGGGACAAGUCUCUACAAGCAGUACUGGGACAGCUGUUAUCUACUGACAUAAAAGGAGGAUGGAGUAAAGCCAAAUCCUCUAUUCUAUUGAAAAUAAUGAGUAGUAACUGUCAGCUCAAAGAGGGGAGUGGUUCACGCUUCUCAACCUGAAGCAUACUUCUUUUCUGUUAAAUGAAUUUUAUUUAAAAAAAAUUCUGAGUAGCUCAGAAAGUAGAACUGAUCAUGUCCCUUGAAAGGAACAGCACUCUGUAUUUAUCAGCUAGCACAAGACUUACAUUCAAUUCCCUUAACUACAAUGUUCUAUUGAAUUAAGAAAAAAAAAUGAACACAAGUUUCCUCAUUGUACUUGUGAAAAUCAUCAAAUCUCGUCUUCCUCCCCAUCUGUCUUAAGUUCUACUGCAAAUGAAAACAAUUUACAAAUUUACACUCUGGAGAAAUUAAUAAGGCUGAUUUGGCCACUCUGUACAUAGCAGGGGGGUUGAAACUCGAUCACUCUGGUCUUUUUCAACCCAUGCCAUUCUGUGAUGAUUCUAUGAUGAUUUUCACGUGAUACUAUAGGAAAGUAUAUAAACUCUUGUACAAUGAUUGUCAUCGUGUAACUUUUUAAGAACAAUUUGUAUGAGGAAGAAACAGCAGCCAUUUUCAAACACACUUCUUUCCUAUUUGCAAAGGAAAGAGAAUAGGUGGAGAAAAAAACAAUCUUUGCCUCUCUUCCCUCUCAAAGAAAAGAAAACACAUAACUGAACUGCUUGUUGCUGUUGCAAAAUUUUCCUGAGUUUACAGGGCUGUUUCUAACCCAGCUGUAAGAUGUUCAAACAAAUACUGACUAUCUGAAUACUGAGAAUGAGGCAAGAGCUCUCAUUUUUUAAUACAAAGAUUUGUUUAAAUAUUUGUCAUCACAAAAAAUUGGUGUUUAUGUAUAAAUAAUCUGUUGUUACCAACUUCAAGAACAGGAAGAAGCUGGAGUUGAUUAGUAUUCAAUUUGUUCCUGAGUAAAUAAGAAAUAUUUAA